rnacentral:rRNA from 1 species
GAUGAACGCUAGCGGGAGGCUUAACACAUGCAAGUCGAGGGGCAGCAUAGGGUAGCAAUACUCUGAUGGCGACCGGCAAACGGGUGAGUAACGCGUAUGCAACCUACCCUGUACAGGGGGAUAACCCGGAGAAAUUCGGACUAAUAUCCCGUAAUAAUAUCCGGAGGCAUCUUUGGAUAUUUAAAGUUCCGACGGUACGGGAUGGGCAUGCGUAACAUUAACUGGUUGGUAAGGUAACGGCUUACCAAGGCUAUGAUGUUUAGGGGUCCUGAGAGGGUGGUCCCCCACACUGGUACUGAGACACGGACCAGACUCCUACGGGAGGCAGCAGUGAGGAAUAUUGGUCAAUGGGCGCAAGUCUGAACCAGCCAUCCCGCGUGCAGGAAGACGGCCCUAUGGGUUGUAAACUGCUUUUCCAGGGAGAGAAACUUACGCACGUGUUGCGUGACUGACGGUACCCUGGGAAUAAGCAUCGGCUAACUCCGUG